rnacentral:rRNA from 1 species
GUCAAUGGCCAUGCCACCCUGAACAGCCUGAUCCUGUUCCAAUCUCAGAAGUUAAGGAGGGUUGGGCCUGGUUAGUACUUGGAUGGGAGACCACAUAGAAGAACGGGUGCUAUAGGCG